rnacentral:tRNA from 1 species
UGCGGAAUAGAGCAGAUGGUAGCUCGUGAGACUCAUAACCUCAAGGUCGCCAGUUCGAGUCUGGCUUCCGCGA